rnacentral:rRNA from 1 species
CUUUGACGUUAGCGGCGGACGGGUGAGUAACACGUGGGUAACCUACCUAUAAGACUGGGAUAACUUCGGGAAACCGGAGCUAAUACCGGAUAACAUUUGGAACCGCAUGGUUCUAAAGUGAAAGAUGGUUUUGCUAUCACUUAUAGAUGGACCCGCGCCGUAUUAGCUAGUUGGUAAGGUAACGGCUUACCAAGGCGACGAUACGUAGCCGACCUGAGAGGGUGAUCGGCCACACUGGAACUGAGACACGGUCCAGACUCCUACGGGAGGCAGCAGUAGGGAAUCUUCCGCAAUGGGCGAAAGCCUGACGGAGCAACGCCGCGUGAGUGAUGAAGGGUUUCGGCUCGUAAAACUCUGUUAUUAGGGAAGAACAAACGUGUAAGUAACUGUGCAUGUCUUGACGGUACCUAAUCAGAAAGCCACGGCUAACUACGUGCCAGCAGCCGCGGUAAUACGUAGGUGGCAAGCGUUAUCCGGAAUUAUUGGGCGUAAAGCGCGCGUAGGCGGUUUCUUAAGUCUGAUGUGAAAGCCCACGGCUCAACCGUGGAGGGUCAUUGGAAACUGGGAAACUUGAGUGCAGAAGAGGAAAGUGGAAUUCCAUGUGUAGCGGUGAAAUGCGCAGAGAUAUGGAGGAACACCAGUGGCGAAGGCGACUUUCUGGUCUGUAACUGACGCUGAUGUGCGAAAGCGUGGGGAUCAAACAGGAUUAGAUACCCUGGUAGUCCACGCCGUAAAACGAUGAGUGCUAAGUGUUANGGGGUUUCCGCCCCUUAGUGCUGCAGCUAACGCAUUAAGCACUCCGCCCUGGGGAGUACGACCGCAAGGUUGAAACUCAAAGGAAUUGACGGGGACCCGCACA